GAAAGUAAAAACCAUCAACUAACACAGACGCCAAGAAUUAUUCAACUCCAUUAACAAAUAACAAGAUUUCAUUGUUUCCCAAGAAAAUGAGAAAUAAUCAUUAAAUGAGACUUUUGUCAAAAAAAAUAUUUAACUAUACUUUAGCUUUUGUUUCAUUUCAGUCAUUCAGUGGAAAACAGGUUAAAUUUUAGCAGAUGGUGGGCCAUGUCCCUUUCAAUCGCAGCACCAACACACACUCCUCCCCCAACAAAAGCCAAAAGA
rnacentral:misc_RNA from 1 species